CAUCACCCCCCCCCCCCCGACACACACACACACACACACACACACACAGUGUCUGAUAUGAAAGGGUUGUAUUUCCUGCUUUAACUCAGUGUUUUUCCGGCAGUGGAAAAAAAAAUAGCAAUACACAUUCUUUGUCUUAGAAAGCCACAUAUUGUUGUGGUGUUUGAGGUGUUAUUAUGGUUGUCACUACAUUAUUUUUUUUUUUUUGUUUUUUUUUUUUAACAGUUAUAGCCAUUUGAAGUGAAGCUUUCUCAAUGCCAGCCUUUCUCUCUCCCUAAAAGCACAAGAUGAAGAAUCUUGCCUGUGUCUUGGUGUGCUUGGCCUGUUGUUUUGUUGUCAGUUCAUAUGUCUGUCAUAAAAUAGAUUAAAAAAAAAAAAGAAAAAGAAACACCAACUGGCUAUACAACUCAAACCCUAUUAUGAAAAUGGGUUCCAGCAACGGUUGCCAGUGAAGCAGCUGAACUCGGAGGGAUUUGGGUUUCUUCUUCCCUUCCUUCUCUUUGCCUUCACAGCAGCAGUGUGCUUGUCUGUUUGCAUUCUUUUUGUCACUUAAUUGUCUGUCCUUGCCUGGCCUGCUAAUCCACUGUGUUUCUCCCAAUGGCGGCAAUUAAUAAUGUCUGUUAGUUUUUUUCCCCUCUCUCUUAUCUGCCUCUCUUGAGGGUCACACUUUAGUUCACUGCGCUUGUAACCAUUUUCAUGUGAAGAAGUUCUUUUUUCUUUACCAACACUCCUUCUUUCUCUUACUCUUCUCUCUCUCACUCCGGUUUCUCUCUCCCUGUGUCACUGUCUUUCUUUCUCCUUCCCUGAAAGACGCCUCUGUUGGUUUGAUUCUACUCUGGCCUCCAGACGUAAUUAGGCAGCGUGUUGCUGCAGUGUUAAGCAAAGUGUGACUUCUGUGGGUUAUCUCCAUUAGGUUAUCUGCACAGGCUUUGACUCUGUUGCCUGUUAACCCUAAAUGCACAGCCUGUUGCUGAUGUAAAUGCACAGCCUGUUGGUGAUGUAGAAAGGGCAGCUGUUAAGGGUUAAUGCCAUCAUGCUUGAGUCAAGUGUGUAUGACAAUCGAAGCAGUCUAACGGCUUGGAUGUCAAAACUAGACAUUUUCCUCUUAGAGGGUACCCAGUAAUGGGCUGAAAUUAAAGUUCAAGGUUUAGAGACCAGACAUUCUCCAUUAUCCUUUCCCAUGUCCCCCUGUCUAGAUGUGAAGCCAAAAAUGCAGCCCCAAAAAAAACUCAAUAGGGGGAAGAACGCAGUGCAGAGGCAGCGGGGUUGUCCAACACCAUAUACUGGUCUAGUGCCCGAGGGGACGCGGGUUCGAGUCCGGCCUGAGGUCAUCUCCCAAGUCCCCUCCCCAUCUCUCUCCCACCCACUUCCUGUCUACUCUCCCACUCACUUCCUGUCCACUCUCCACUGUCCUAUCGAUAAUAAAAAAAAAACACUAGAAUGGCCCCACAAAAACAAAAAAAAAACCUCAAUCUAGCCGGGCCUAUUUUUAGCUAGCAGGACCCCAUUUCCUCGCGCAUAUUGACAAAUCCUCAUUAGCCCCUGCCAAAGCAAUCGAGUGAAGGCCCCAUUGUUGGUUUUGUUGGUGAGCAGGCUUACGCUUUGACGCGAUCUACAUCUCCACUCCUCCUUUGUUUUGCGAGGUGUAAAGGCUAAUCAAAGCACGUCUUGCGGUGUGUGCGCUUCAGCCCAGAGGUGUGUUGUUGGCACAGAAACGGGUCUUAACGCCAUCGCCAGGAGGAGAAAUGGUCAAAGACAUUUGGAGAAAGAAGAUGGCAGGAGAAGGAGGGGAAAAGAGAAUUAUGCAAAUGUGCCCUCUACCAGAGAUAUAUUUGGUUUUCUUAUUAGCGUGACUCAACUGUGGUUUUUUUUGUCUCUGGGCCCAGCGACAGAACACUGGGUGACUGUCAAAAAGAGGGAGCGUGUCGUUUGGCUUCGGAGCCGUAAACAUCCUCAGUGCCGAUAAAGCACAGGUUUCCUCGGAUUUUGCAAACAAAAAUAAAAUGAAUU
ensembl:lncRNA